ensembl:lncRNA
GUUGUUGUUGAAGCAGCAUUUGUUGUUGAUGGUGCAGUUGUACUUGGUGAGGAUAUGAGAGUGGUUGUGGGGGUCACCUCUGUAGUUGUGGAAGCUUCAGUUUCUGUUGAUGGCUCUGUUGUUGUUGAACUUGGUAAGGAUAUAAGAGUGGUUGUGGGGAUCUCAUCUAUGGUUGCGGAUGCUCCAGUUUCUGUUGAUGGUGCUGUUGUUGUAUUUAGUGAGGAUACCAGAGUGGUUGUGGGUGUCACCUCUAUGGUUGUGGAAACUUCAGUUUCUGUUGAUGGUGCUGUUGUUGUUGAAGCAGCAUUUGUUGUUGUUGAUGGUGCAGUUGUACUUGGUGAGGAUAUGAGAGUGGUUGUGGGGGUCACCUCUAUGGUUGUGGAAGCUUCAGUUUCUGUUGAUGGCUCUGUUGUUGUUGAACUUGGUGAGGAUAUAAGUGUGGUUGUGGGGAUCACAUCUAUGGUUGUGGAAGCUUCAGUUUCUGUUGAUGGUGCUGUUGUUGUUGAAGCAGCAUUUGUUACUGUUGAAAGUGUAGUUGUACUUGGUGAGGAUAUAAGUGUGGUUGUGGGCGUCAUCUCUAUGGUUGUGGAAGCGUCGGUUUCUGAUGAUGAUGCUAUUGUUGUACUUGGUGAGGAUAUAUGUGUGGUUGUUGGAAUGACAUCUACGGUUGUGGAAGCUUCAGUUUCUGUUGAUGGUGCUCUUGUUGUUAAAGCAGCAUUUGUUGCUGUUGAUGGUGCAUUUGUACUUGGUGAGAAUAUGAGAGUGGUUGUGGGGAUCACAUCUGUGGUUGUGAAAGCUCCAGUUUCUGUUGUCAUUGAAAAUGACAUUGCUGUUUGACCUGUAGCUGUUGCUGAAGAUACAUUUUCUGUAGGAGCCUCAGUUGUAGAUGCAAUUGAUAUUGAAUCUGUAGUUGUUGGAGAUGUAGUUGUGAAAGUCGCAGCUAUGCAUGUAUUUUGUUUGAGGGUCAUAGCUGUGGUAAGAGAUGCUUUAGUUCUUAUUAUACAAACUUCACUGGCUGUUGAAAUUGGUGUUGUUGGUGUUAUGGAGGAUGUACCUCCACAAACAAUGCACCAUACAUAUACUGUCAAGAAAAAAAAUAUAUAUAUAUAUUUAAUUGCUGUAUUAACUUUUGACCAUUUGAAAUUUAAAUGACACUAUUAUCAAAUUCCAUGAACAUUUUAAUAGCAUUUGAUUACGUCACAUUUUUAUUUAACAAUUUCUCAACACAAAAUAUCCAGAUUAAGAGUAUACGUACAUAUGGUGAGGAAUACGGCCCAUCUGGCCUCAUAUUUUGAAAUGAAACACCACCUAAAAUAGAAGAUAACAAUUUAUAUUUUGUCUUUAAUAAAUUACAAAACAUUCAUGUAUUCA